rnacentral:lncRNA from 1 species
AGCAUCCCAGAGGCCGCUUCCUCGGUCGAGGACCCAGAGAGACUCAGGGGAAAUUAGAGCAUGAUGGCGGCCGAGGUCGCUUGGCGCAACCAUCGUCUUUUUUCUUUAUUUUUAGCUCAUUAGUGCCUUGCCUCGGCGCUGUUUCCCUAAGCUCCUCUCUCCAACCAGUACUGCCCUAUAACGGAAUCCAUACGUGCCGGCUCCUUGAUUUAUCCCCUCCGAAGUGCUGAGUGUGGGCUGGUUGUGCGUCAUUGGACUGUCAGGAUGUCACUCCCCAGUCAAAUCUUCAAGCUAUUGGUGGAACAGCAAGAAAGCCCGUCCAUCAACAAGGGCUAAUACCAUUGGUUUGACUCCACUGUGUUAUUUCCUGGCACCUUAUUGGGCAAAUAGGUGCGUCAGAUCCGGAUUCGCUCUGCUACGGUUAAUUGUUUACUGGGGAUUUGGGGUCAACUCUGGUUGUUUGGCCAGUAGUUGACGAUAAUAGUGACUCCCUUGCCUAUUUUGUGCCAAGUAUUGGGCUGCUUUCUUCACAAACAUUAUCUGGUUAAACCUGGGAGUAAUGCAGUAUCCAGUUUUUAUAGAUGGGAAAUUAAGGCUGGCGAGAGCUUAGAAAACUUGCCCAAGGUCAUCCAGAUACAGAGUCGUUGGUGGGCCUGGCAUCUGGUCCUGGGUCAAACUGCAGAGACUUCACUCUUUUUAUUAUGCUUUAGUGCCUCCACCUUAGACGAUGUACUUGUCAGCCAACCUAGCAUCUUAAAAACGUUUCAUUUGGAACUCAAAGUCUUCAGUCAGUUUCUAGAAGUGACUUUGUUGGGGACUUACUAUGGAAAGGUUGUCAUUGCCUCCACCACAUCUUCCUCCCCAGGACCCAUUCCUCUCCCCUUUAAGGUAGACAUUUCUGCCUCCUUUUAUGCGAAGCCUAGGCACCACUCGCAACCCCUGACCAACCAUCUACAACUCAUUCUUUGGAGAGAGUCCUCAAGAGCUGGAAAACUAGGAGAAAUCAAGUCUAAAGAGAGAGACAGAAUAAAUCGUCUUAGAAAUGAAUAAUUUAUUGCAUGCAAAGAGAACAGCCCUUCAGCUCCUGGAAAUCUUCCAGGAUAGUUGAUGCUGAGCAAGACGUGUGCUCCUGGCUGGUGGCCACUGGGUUCUUUCCCUAUAGCAGCAUUCAUCGAAGUGAAUCCAACAUUUCAGCCAGAGGAGGGCAGGACGCUUAGGACCCAUUGCCAGUGAGCUUUUGCGACCGAAAUGAUCUCCAGGAGCACAACGCUGGACUCUAGCCCACAUUCCAUCUUGGGUAAUUAACAUUUUACCGUCCCAAAUCCCCAUCCCCUGUAGCUUCAGUGGGAUCACCGCCCUUGUUUCACUUCCUGAUCCAAGCUGUUGUGUAACCUCCUUGGCACUGCUUUAAUAAUAAAACAACCAUUGUAACAUAGUAACAAUGCUCAACACUUAGAGCCUUUCAGCAAAUGAAGCCAAGGUAUUUCAUAAACGUCAAUUAAGAGUAAGUGGCAUGUAUUCCUAGGGCAACUGCAAGAAGGACAGAAGAAAGAUCGUGCGUCAAAUUCUAAUAUAGGUUGUAAGAACGUGAGUCCUUAAAAUUGUAUGCACAUACCCCAUAUUAGCCUUCCAGUAUGGGGAUUCUGAACUCAAAAACACAAUGAAUGAGAAACAUUCAGAAUCUAAAACCUUCCUAAUCUUCAAAGUUGGUUGCUUGGACCCCUAUUUUAGCACUUAAGUUGGUGCUUGACUUUCUGGGUAAUUGUUUGAUACAUUUCAGUUGUAAGUACCUUGAAGCAGAUGGUUUCUUUUUCAUCUUUGUGUCCUUCACAUUGUUCUGAUCGUAAAAGGCCCCCAAAUAAAUAAUUACUCAGUAAAUGUUUAGUGAGCAUGUCAGGCACUUUUACUAAGUUACAAAGGCUAUGCAGAUGAGUGAUACACUCUCUCUUCCUUCAAGGACCUCAGUCGAGUAGGGGUGUCCAGCAGAUAAGCAGAUAACCAUGAUGCAGUGCUGUGAGAAGGUGCCCUGGAAGCAAAUGGUAGGGACAUGGGACUCCAUCUCGGGAGGGACAGAAAUGGCUUCCUGGAAGAAGUGACACCUUCAAGGAGAACUAAAGAAUGAGUUACGGUUAGCUAGGCAAGAGACUGGUGAUGUGUGGUGACCUACGACAUUUGCUCUCUGGUGGCAGGGAGCAGAAUGGGAAUAUCCAGAGAUGGCCAAAGCCUGUUCUUCUUAGAAUCUUUGUCCAUAAAGGCCUCAGCAAUUUGUCCACUCCACCUCAUUGUGCCUUCCCUCCCAGAGACAAAACAAAUGCCUGAAACCUUCUCCUAUUUGCCCACUUGAGAAUAGGAAAAUAAUUUCCAAAUAAGAUGGCCGUUUUUCUGAUCAUAAAAGUAACAUUGAGGCCAGGCACAUUGGCUUAUGCUUGUAAUCCCAGCAAUUUGAGAGGCCAAGGCGGAAGGAUUGCUUGAGGCCAGGAGCUUGAGACUAGCUAGAGCAACACAGGCAGAGCCCAUUUCUACAAAAAGAAAGAAAAUAAAUAGUUGCGCAUGGUGGCCUGCGCCUACAGUCCCAGCUACUUGGGAUGCUGAGGUGGGAGGAUUGCUUGAGCCUGGGAGUUCAAGGCUGCAGUGAGCCACACCACUGCACUCCAGCCUGGGCAAUAGAGCAAGACCCUGUCUCAAAAAAAAAAAAAGUAACAUUGAGUAAAUAUAAUAUUAACUCAAUAUUUAAUAUUCUGUAUUUCAGACAAUAUAGAAAGUUAUAAAGUAAAAGCCGCCCAUAGUCUGUUACAUCCAGACACUGUUAAGGAGACUAUCUUCCCAGACUCUUUUAUGAACAGACCCACAAAUGAGUUUCUUCUUCCAACAAACAGUGGGAUGUGGUUCAGGGUCUUUUCUGGGCUCUCAGAGCUCUCAUCACCCAGAACUGCGGCUUUGGAUGGAACCUGCCCUCGCUUUCUAUACUUAUAGGAAGGAAGCCAAUCUGUCAAUCAAAUAUUUAUUGUGGAGAAGAUGGGUUUCAAUUCCUGUCAGAGCCAAUGGCAGGACUUUUGGGGCUUACUCAGCCUGGUGUGAAUGUUAAGCCAAUGAUUGGGGUGAGGGCGUCUGCCCUGUAGGGCUUACAGGCAUGCCUUGGUGCCUGCGGAAUCAACUCAUACCCUGAAAAGGCAGCCCAGGUCAGAGAAUGCUAUGCCAGGGUGCUCUCUUGUGCUUGCUCUCAUUUCCUCUCUGCAUGCUACUUGGGGAAAAUAUUUUUCUGUUUGUUUGUUCCAACCCACCCAGCUUUCAGAGUAAAAAGACUCGUUAAGCCCUGCACACUUGUAUGCAGGCCAAGUGCACUAUGUUCUUGGAGCGCUGUGCUAUUCUUAGCGCUCUAUAUGUGGUGUUCUAUACAGUUGGCUUUUUGCUGGAGGGGAAGGCAGAUUUCAUGAGUGAUAGCUGCCUUGGCUGGCUACCAAAAGUGCUCUGAGCCAUCUCAAGCAACAGGCCUUCCUUUUUUCCCUUGAGAGGUUGUGUUGUGAUCCCUGCCCUCGGCUUGGACAAAUUCCAAGGCAAUGGGAAUUUUUGUGAACAAUUCUGCAAUAACCCACAAGCUGGGGGAAGGGGGGAUAGCAAGCUGGAUCUGCUCCAGCUCUAAUUUCUGUGACACAGAAGAACUCCUUCCGCCCUUUGCACUGGCCCCUCAUAGCUAUGAAGAAUUUGGAAGUGUUCAUUAAGCAUUCUCCAAUUCUUGAAGCUUAUAACAAUGGGAAGAUCCCUGUAAAGGAAUCUGAUCCAAAAGACAAGGGGACAGCUGACAGCUGAUACUGCUUGCUUGGGCAGUGGGUGUAGCCAUUGCCAAAGACCAAGAGCAAUGAGGCAGGGAAACUCUCUAAAGAGGGCUGAUUACAGAGGGCAUGCUUAUAAGCAUUUAUUGCAUGUCUGGGAGCAUUUACUGUGCAACACAUCCCUUGUGUCUGUCUCACCUUCUAAAUCACCUAUCAUUUUUUAUGACCACACUUCCUGAGAAGCUACUUAGUUAAGCAGCAAACACUGGACCCCCUCAUGUGUGCUGGCCAAUGCUAGACACACAGGAGGCAGCUCACAAGAGAACCAGGAUUAUGGUUAAUAAUAACUACCCUUUGGUGGACACUUGCUGUGUGUCAUACACUGUACUGAGGGCUUUACGUGGAUUAUGGCUGUUAAUCUUCACAACAACCAUUGUUAUCCACAUUUUCUAGAUAGGAAAAUGGAGGCACUGAAGGGCUAACUAACCCAUCGUUGAACCUAGGCGGUCUGACUCCAACGAGUAAGCUCUUGUCCACGCUGCUAUAUUGCCUCUGGGAUGUCUGACUUGGGAACCCCACAGUGCAGCUGGGGAGAUGACCAGCCCUCAAUGAACAGUUGUCCUCGUAGUCUUUAGUAUCUCAGCCCCAUCCUCUUUACCCCCUAUAAACUCAAGGAAAGAAAUACACCUCUUUCCGGCUAAAUUACUGCCUCUGGUGGUCCUUCCUCCACGUCCCAACUGAGAUCUGGCUUUUCUCCCACUCCCUUCAAAUAGCUUCCUUCCCUUUCUUCUCUAUUUUCUUAUCCUAGCUUUUUAAAUAAUGGCCUGCGGCCAUCUCCACCACCAGGAAUGCUCUCUCGUUUUCUCUCUCUGAACCUGGCUUCUAGCCCUAACUCUACUGAAAUUCAUUUCUCUAAGCUCAUCUAUAACCUUUUUGUGGCCAAGAUCCAAGAGACUUUCUCAGUCCUUGUUUCCAUGGCUUCACCAAUACGUUUUACUCUGAGAAUCUUUUCUUUGCUUCCCCAAAUAGCCAGCUUUCCUCCUACCUCUACAACUGUUCAUGCUCUUUUCCCUACCAUCUCUUUCUCUAAGCUCCUUCAAAGGAAUCUGUCUGCACUUCUCUCCUUAUGUUGUCUCUGGGGGCGUGCGACGCUCGCAGGACUCAGCAAGCUCAGCUGGGUCAUUAUCCUACUUUCACCUCUAAGAUGAGAAUUCUAUCUCUCCAUCUCCACCCUUCAUUCUGCAGCUUGUUUGCUGCGUGACUUUUUGCAAGUCACACAAACUAUCUAAGCUUCAGUUUCCUCGUUUCUAAAAUGAAUAUAUUGAAUCGGAUUUGUUAUUCUCCACCUAAGAUAAUGAUAAAACCUAACAUUUUAACCCACAUACCAGGCCAGGCGUAGUGGUUCAUGCCUGUAAUCCUCCCAGCACUUUGGGAGGCAGAGGCAGGUGGAUCAUGGAAGUCAGAGGUUCAAGACCAGGCUGGCCAAAAUGGCAAAACCUCAUCUCUACUAAAAAUACAAAAAUUAGCUGGGUAUGGUGGCGCGCACCUGUAAUCCCAGCUACUCAGGAGGCUGAGGCAGGAGAACUGCUUCAACCUGGGAGGUGGAGGUUGCAGUGAGCUGAGAUCGCGCCACUGCACUCAAGCCUGGGCAACAAAGGGAGACUCCAUCUCAAAUUAAAAAAACUGCAUACUAUGCCAGGCAGGACUAAGUGGAAAAUGAAAGCAUGGGGUUCUGUGUUCACAGGUUUCAUGCCCAUGAAGCCAGCUCUAGUACCAGCCUCUGCUCCAAGCAUUGUAUAUGUAUGAGCUUAUUCAGUCCUCAUAGUAACUUUCUGAGGUAGAUACAGAUGAAGAAAGUAAGGCAGAGAUAGGUUAAGCAGUUGCCCAAGGUCAGUUUUUAAUUGGUAGAAUUGAGGAAAAUAACACUUGCCUGUUGGGGCUGUUGUGAGACUCACGGGUGCAGGUGCAUAGGGAAGGCUGGUUCCUGUCCAGGGACCCCUCAGCCCGGCCAUGCCCAUUCUCCGGCAGAGAGUUUGUCCAUGUGGUUUCUGCUGCCUAUGAUGCCCCCUCUUCCUCUGCCUGUCCCCAAGUCUACACUUUCUUCAAAGCUCAGUUCAAGCCCCUCCUCCUCCUCUGAGGGGUUUCUGCAGCCGAGGCAGGCCCACAUCUCCCUUCCCCUGGCAGAUUUCCUGAGCACCCAUAGUGAAGGCAGCCCCCUCCCUGCCUUAGGAGCACUCGCUGGCCUUUGCGUACUCCAGGCUCAGUAAUAACCAAUCCUACAAGGCCAGAGGAAAAACUUUUUUCUCCAUAUCCUUGGAGCAGCUUGCUGUAGACUGUCUCACCCACCAGACAGGAAGGCUUUGCGGGCAAAACCUAUAUUUGAGUUAUCUGAGUCUUCACUGUGUCCUCGAUAAUUGUGAUUCUCAUAAUUCUCCUAAAAGAGUUCUGUCUAGGCUCUGGACCUUUCCCUGGAAUGCCUUGCCUCAUUGUCCCCUCCUCCAUUCACUCCUCAGGUAUCGGCUCAGAGAUUACCUCCUCCUCCAGGAAGCCUACCCUGUUCUUCUCCCCCAGGUUAAGUGCCUCCUCUGGGCUUCUUUACAUGCUGUGCUUUCCCAUCAGAACACUUGCCUCCCAGUAUCCAUCUUCCUAACCAUGUUCUGAACAUUUGAAGGUAAAGGCCAGGUCUAUCUUAUCACAGUGCCUGGAACACAGUAAGUUCUCAAUAAGUUCGUUUGAACAAAUGAAUGAACGAAUGAAUGAAUGAAAAAAUUAAAUGUUGAGCAGGUGCAGUGGCUCACAUCUGUAAGCCCAGCUACUUGGGAGGCUGAGGUGGGAGGAUCACUUGAGCCCAGGAGUUAGAGACCAGCCUAGACAACAUAGCAAGACCCCAUCCCUAAAGUUUUUUUUUUAAUUAGCUGGGCAGGGUGGUGCAUGCCUGUAGUCCCAGCUACUUGGGAGGCUGAGGCGGGAGGAUCACCUGAACCUAGGAGUUUGAGGUUGCGGUGAGUUAUGAUUAUGUCAUUGCACUCCAACCUGGCAACAGAGACCCCCAUCUCUUAAAAAAAAAGUUGGUGAAAACUCUGGGCUCUGCAGGCAUCUCAGCACAGGGCUUGGCACCUGAUGGGUGCUUAUGUACAUUUAUGAAAUGGGUGAGAACAAAUCCAGAAUUUCUGUUCAGAAGAAGCCUUAGUGGCAGCGGUCUGGUUGGAGGAGUGAGACUAGUGAAUUCCUCUUGACAGAACAAUGACAAGGUAAACAUGAGAGUUGAGAGUCCGUGUUGGGAGCGGAGGCAUAAAGGAGAGGUGUCCUAGGCCAGAGGUCAGCAAGCCCAGGCUUGAGGACCAAAUCCAGCCCACUGCCUGUUUUGGCACAGCCUGUGAGCUAAGACUGGUUUUUGCUUUUGUUUUUUUGUUUGUUUGUUUUUGAGAUGGAGUCUAGCUCUGUUGCCCAGGCUGAAGUGCAGUGGCAUGAUCUCAGCUCACUGCAACCUCCGCCUCCCAGGUUUAAGCAAUUCCUACGCCUCAGCCUCCCGAGUAGCUGGGAUUACAGGCAUGUGCCACCACACCAGGCUAAUUUUUGUAUUUUUAAUAGAGACAGGGUUUCACCACGUUGGCCAGGCUGGUUUCGAACUCCUGACCUCAGGUGAUCCACCCACCUCGGCCUCCCAAAGUGCUGAGGUCACAGGCAUGAGCCACCGCACCUGGCCGGUUUUUGCAUAUUAAAAGAAUAUUACUACUUUGUGAUACAUGAAAAUUAUGGAUUCAGAUUUCAGUAUUCAUAAGGUUUCACUGGAACAUGGCCACACCUGCUUGUUUCUGUACUGUCUAGGGGUGCCUCAGUGCUAUGACAGUAGCUGCAACAGACACACUGAAUGUUCACUUUUUGGCCCGCCACAGAAGGAGCUUGCAGAUCCCUGCUUUGGCCGUCUAGCUGACCUAGGGGAGGAAGGACGUAUGCUGCCAGCCAGCCACAAGGUGUCAGCCUCUCACCAUGAUGCUGCCAGCCGCGUGGGCUUCUCCAAGUUCUCCAAGGCUUCUCUCCAGGGCCACCUGCGCAGGACCAGGACUGUGGCCCCUAGACCCCGUCCCACCAGGCUAUAGUCACUAGUGUGAAAGCCAAAGACAUCAAGGCGGGGUGUGGAAUCUACAUGAGGAGUACAGGCCUGGCUUGGGAAGCCCCAUGGCCUGGAGAAGGGUUGGCAGACUUCUCCGGACAUGCUCUGUUUCUUUGAUUUAGGUUUUAUUUGUAUUUUGUAUACAAAAGAUUCUCCAAACAAACUAAAAUUGUUUAUUUCACCACAAACUAUCAAUCCAGAAAGGUUGUGGGACUUUUGCACAACCAGAUAAGACCGCAGCCCUCUAAGGAUGAACCUGCAUGAGGGGAACACAGGUCCCUGCCAAGCAGAGUGGCUCCGAAAUGGCAUCUCUGGCAGGUUUUCUCUCCCUUUCUGUCGAAACCUGGGCCUUGGCCAGGUGUGGUAGCUAAUGCCUGUAAUCCCAACACUUUGGGAGGCCAAGGCGGAAGGAUCGCUUGAGGCCAGGAGUUCAAGUCUAGCUUGGGUAACACAGUGAGAUCCUAUCUCUACAAAAAAAUAUUGAAAAUUAGGGCAGGAGCGUUGGUGCAAGCCACUACUACUACUAGCUACUUGGGAAGCUGAGGAUGGAAGACUUCGGAGAAGUGGCCUGUGCAGGCCACCAGGUCAGGACUGUGAAGAAAAGAGCCAGUGCUCUCAACGGGGGCACUUUUACCCCCCAGGGGACAUGUGGUAACAUCUGGAGACAUUUUUGGUGGUCUCAUCUGAAGGAGUGCUAGUGGCAUUUAGUAGGUGGAAGCUAGGGAUGUUGCUAAACGUACUAUAAUGCACAGGGCAGCCCCAUCCCCAACAGAGGAUUCUGCAGCUCCAAAGCAUCACCAUUGCCAAGACCCUGAGCUCAAGGAACAGACUCAGACCUGCAUUCUCUGUGACGUGGGAUCUGGGGAGAGUUGUGUGCCUCCUCAUCUGAAAGAUGGGGAUAAUGAACCUUAGCCAGGCUGGGCGUGGUGGCUCAUGCCUGUAAUCCCAGCAGUUUGGGAGGCCAAGGCAGGCAGAUCACCUGAGGCCGGGAGUUCAAGAUCAGCCUGACCAACAUAGUGAAACCCUGUCUCUACUAAAAAUACAAAAAUUAGCCGGGCGUGGUGGCGCGUGCCUGUAAUCUCAGCUACUCAGGAGGCUGAGGCCAGAGAAUCACUUAAACCCAGGAGGUGGAGGUUGUAGCGAGCUGAGAUGACGCCACUGCACUCCAGCCUGAUCGACAGAGCAAGACAUUGUCUCAAAAAAAAAACAAAACAAUUACUUGCGCUUCUCAUCAUACAACCUUAUGAGACCCACUCCCCCAAUACACAGGAAAACUGUUACCUUUCUAAAGGGCUCUUUGUUGAGCUUUUCUUAGUUUGAAACCUUCAUGUUACUAAAGCAUCUAGCAUGGUGACUGGCAUAUAGUAGGUGCUCAAUAAAUAUGAAAAAGAGAAAAGCAAUACAGUAGUAAACAAAAACAAAACAAAAAAAUAGCCUGGCCGGGUACGGUGGCCUGUAAUCCCAGCACUUUGGGAGGCCAAGGCGGGCGGAUCACAAGGUCAGGAGAUCAAGACCAACCUGGCUAACAUGGUGAAACCCUGUCUCUAAUAAAAAUAUAAAAAAAUUAGCCAGGCAUGGUGGUGGGCACCUGUAGUCAUAGCUGCUCAGGAGGCUGAGGCAGAAGAAUGGCGUGAACCCGGGAGGCGGAGCUUGCAGUGAGCCAAGAUCGCUGUCACUGCACUCCAGCCUGGGCAACAGGGUGAGACUCUGUCUCAGAAAAAAAAAAGAAAAAAAAAAAAGAAAUAGCCCACUUUCCCCUCUUUGGCCAGUUUCUUCCAUAUCUCUGGGUCUCAUUUUUUGCCUAGCCUUUCUAUAAAGUUCUACACAGGCAGAGGGUAGUGAUGUUAACAGAGGCUAUCUUGAAAGCCCUCGAGGGGUCAGGGAUAAGAUUAAGGACAGGUAGCUAAGGAGAUGGGAAGUUUUGCCAAAUCCCAAGGGGCAGGCUCCCAGAUCCAUCCAGAAGUCCUGUGCUUACUGCCCUUGUGGGGCAGAAGCAAGCGUGGCGGCCGCACCAGGGGCUCAGCUCACUGGGAGGUUAGGUUUCCCAAAGAGCUGCACCAGCUGUGAACACUUACCCUACAGAAGCUGACUCAGAAAGACAGCAGCUUGGUGGUGGUGUGGGGUGGGAGGGGGGUGCAGUGAAGCCAGACCCCAGCCCCGAGAGUGCUGCCUUAUCCUGUUCCUCCUAGAGCCCUUCCAAUGUAACCAGCCUUGCAGAAGCUGCUGUGCAGGGACCAAGGGCAUGAUCCACCCUUGAACUUGCCAUCCAACUGGGAGGGCCAGAUGUACCCUUGAGAUUUGAUGAGUAAGAGACUGCUUCACAAAGUAUGUGCAAGUGCUGGAACAGAGGGCAGGCGUACUCACAGCUGAGAAGCCAAGAGGCAGAACAGAGUGGGCCGGUGCCUAGGCAGACAGGCAAACAUGAAGAGCUGCAUUUUGUGAGUUCAAAAUCCUUGCCAUCUCGGACUACAGUUUCUGUCUCAAGCCUUUUGGAGCGGGGGGUGCCGACACCAUCUUGUCCACACUGCUAUAAGGACGAGGACACAGGCCAGCAGGGAGAGGCACCCUGCCUGGGCACUCCUGCCUUGUGGCUGGCCCUCUUCCCACUAUGCCAACUUGCUUCCUAACAUAUGGUCUCCCCAUCAUUUCUACCAAGAAAGUGUGAAAAACGCCAUCUUGGCACAUGGAGAAACUGAGGCAGAAAGGAAGGCCUGGCUCAAGGCUGUGGUGACUUGGAGAUUCCAAUCAGGGAUCCUCCCAGAUUAGAUGUCAGGGCAGGGGAGGGACCUGGGUGUGCUUUGGGCCUAGAGGAGGUAAAGGGACAAAGCAGGGCCUGCUCUUCUGGCAGGGGAGGCACAGAUGCCCUUGGCUGACUUGCUUGGAGGCCGGUCCCUUCCCCAGGCUGCCUCCCUAAUCCCCAGAGACACCCACCCUCCACACCAGAGAGUGAUCUCUUUGCCGCGUUGCAGUUUACACAUUUCAUGUCCCAUACCUUCAAGGUGUCCGCCUCGAGCUGAGGUGUAACACCCCCACAUCCCACCUCCCCCCUCUCUCCCUUCCCUCCCCUCCAGAAUGAGCUCAUGCCACACUGCCUGGUCUUGGUGCCUAAGGAAACACUUCCCAGAAGCAUUUCACCUUCAUAAAAGCUCAGGGAGGUGGGCCAGAGUCCCUUCUCCACACGCCCUAGAAGCCAGCCUUGGGAUUAACAGAGAAGACCCUGGGGACAGGCUCACCCUUCCUUUCCCUUCCCCUCCCCACUGCCAGAGAGAUUGCAUCUCCUCAAUGGCCGCCACAUGUGGUCCCCACUUCCUGCUUCCUCAGAAGCAAUGCCUGGCUCCCACAGCCCAGCCAGAGCAGCCCCUUUUCUUGCUCUCACAUCAGCUGCCUUGCAGACAUCUGUACCCCUCCCCCAGGUGCUGGUAGUGUCCUAGGGUUUUUUAGAAGGAAAGAAAGAGGAUGAGAGUUUGGUUCAGAGGUCAGAGGGCAAGAAAGUCCGCUGCAUGGCUCUUCCACAGGGCUUGGAUCCCCCAUCGCCCUGCCGGCAGGGCCGGCUCACAGAGUCUGCAGUUUGGCAAUUUCUCCCAGGUCCAUUCACAAACUCUCCUCGGCCCUCUCCAGUCACCCAAGUGGGGAAGGCAGAAUGGAAUUGCUUACUGGGCCUCCCAGCUCAGCCUCAUGGCCAUUAGGCUGACCUGCUCUGGCGAGGCACAGGCUCCUAAAAAUGGCCUGACUCUCGCAGGAGGCAAAGGCCAGUCUGGCCAAAGUGUAACCUGGAAGCCCUGGUUGGUGAAGGGGUCCGAGGACCCCGUUAGAGUUGAGGGAGAAAAGGCAAAUGCUCCUGUCCUCAGGGCCCAGCCUCCCACACCCCCAAUCCCCUCUCAGCCAAGCUCCCUCCCUGCCUUGGGCUGUAAACCAAAGUUUACUGACUGAGGGAAGGAGCAGUCCCAGGUAAAGGCCCUGUAAGGACCCCCACAUAGGCCCGCAGCAGGCAGCAGCCAAGGAGGUCUCAACCACCCAUGCCGAGACUGCCAGGACGGCACUGGGCAGGGAAAAAGAGACCUCAGUGCGAGCGCUCUCAGAAAAGCAGUGUCAAAUUCUGCCCCCACUGCGGGAGGCCGCAGGAUCUUACCCUCAUUCAAGUCUAGUUCAGGAGCCUGCAGGGAUGGGGCCAGGAAGGCCACUGCAGCCAGUGCCCCUGCAGUUCCAGCUGCACCUUACAUCUGGAGUUCAGAGGCUAGAGAAAGACUGGAACUUGGGAUCCCAGGCUCAGGGCCCUGCCCUCUUCCCUUUUAUUCCACCAAUCUCUUGGGUGGGGAGUGGCGUGGGGAA